AUGGGUGGGCAUAUUACAGCGCUUUUGUGAGAAAGCGCUGUAAUAUGCCACCCAUAUAUGAGUUAUGGGUGUGCAUUUUAGAGCGCUUUUUUGAGAAAGCGCUGUAAAAUGCACACCCAUAACUCAU
rnacentral:snoRNA from 1 species